UUGGUGCACUGAUUUCAGAUGGUUGUAAUGGAGCUAAAAUAAUCUUCUUUUCAUUCACCUUAAAAGAAUAAGUAUGUUUGUAGCCGUCAUACAACACCCUUCUAUCAUAAUGCCAAGGUCUUCCCAAUAGUAAAUGACAAGCAUCCAUAGGAGCAACAUCACACCAUACUUCAUCUUUAUAAUACUUGCCAAUAGAAAAUGAAACUAAACAUCUUUUAGUUACAUUGAUG
rnacentral:lncRNA from 1 species